rnacentral:lncRNA from 7 species
GCACAACACAUAAAAAGAAAACAGAUACAUUUACUCCUCUCCAGUGCUUGCCAGAAACACUAAGCUUUUCAUCCCCUCUGGGGACUACAGACUUGGAAGUGCCAUGCCAGUGUUUCUGAAGAACCCUUCAGAUUUCACGCCUUGUCUUCAGUUAUUUCUACCAAUCACCUAUCUCCUACUGUACUUCUCUGAUCUUGCCUCUUGUAAUACUUAUUUGCUCAUUUAAAACUGUAAGAAAUCUUCUGUGACAGCUCCUGCUUUAGAAUUACAGCAUUACAUCCUUAUGCCUCUCCAUGUGAAGGAGAAACAGAAAGAAUUAGCAGAAUACAAGAGGGAAGUGAAGAACACAGGUAAACUCUUGAAACUUGCUUGUCCCUUGCAAGCCCUUGAUCCUGUCUAAAAUCUCCCUAGAGCAAAGACAAGCUGAAUUAUAUCGGAAUUAAAGGGAACAACCUUCUCUAAGCAGGAAACAUUGUGCUAAAGGCUCUUGCAGAGUCAUCAGGAGGAUCAUAGAAUGACUGAGGCUGAAAAUGACUUCUGUCUCCAUCUGGUCCAACGCCAUUACUCAGUCAAGGACACCCAGAGCUGGUUGCUCAGGAUUGUGUCCAGACAGUGCUAGAAGAUCUCAAACAAGGGAGACUCCACAACCACUCCGAAGAGAAGAUGCUCUGAAAACACGGGCUGGUGAUCUAUGACUCACAUGGAUUGGGCUUUUCCCAGCCAAACUCUGCAAUCUAAGUGAGAUCUCUCAAUUAGCGGUGUGGCUGUCUUUACUCAGCAGUGCUUCAUGAUCUCAGACAUGGGCUCUACAUAAGAGCAGUGAGGAAGAAAAGCACUUUAGAGCAUGGUUCAGCUUGCUUCAAGUGUGAUUUACUCUCUGGAAGUACCUCAGUGUCCCCACUGACAUGGAGCUGAAGAAAACUGCUUCCUCCUGAAGUUUCUCAUUUCAGUGUCUACAGUGGCAUAUGACAAAGACUGGUAAAGGUGUCACCUUGUCUGGCAGUAUGAUCCAAUGUCUCAUCACUGUCUGUGCUGGGAAGUGGUGUCCAAUUUCAAGGUGUGCCUACAAGAAGUGAUCGAGUUACCUCCUAAACCCAUCAGUGAACUAAGUAAUCUCAGUGCUAUCGUGUGAUCAGAGCCUUACAUUCUCUGAGGCUCAGUAGCAUUUAUUUCAAAACCAGAAAAAAGAUUUGGCUUAAUUUCAAGAGUAAUUUGGAGAUCUGUCAAACAAUGGUGCCCAUCCUUCUCCAACAGAACACAGGACCUUUUUCACUGACUGUAAGUAGAACAAAUUUAGACUGUGUUGUUUAAAGACCCCGAAGAUGAAAAAUGCUGCUGUGCAGCUCAGCAUCUAUUAUUGUUUUAAAGCACAGACCAUGAGAAAUGUUCACAGCUUGUCCAAAGCCAACAUCCUGACUCAAACAAUUGUUCAGAAUGAAUUCUGAGGCAAGAAAGUUUGGCUAUAGUCAUCUGUGCUUUACAUACAUCUUAACUCCUGAGAUGAGGAGCUGAGGAACUGCAGCAUCAUCUUUCUGUUCCAAAUUUUUGCAUUACAAAUGAAUGUGUUCCGUGCUGAAGCCAGAAGUAUGAAAUCUGUGUUGCUGAGACUUAACAUUAAGAUAUUAAGACACAAAGCUGCCAGCAAAUGCCAAGCAACAGGCAAGUGGAAAGAGUGUACGUUGUGAAGAAACAUCUAAGAUGAAGUGAGUGGGAAAUGCCAACCCCAUGCACUGAAAUGGGGGGUUCCAGCUGUUCUCCACAGUGAACGGGCUCAUUGCCUGGCUCCUAGCCUCUAUUUUUGAUUGCACAUCACAAGGUGAAUGGAAGUACACUGAACAGCCUCAGAAGCAAUAGCACAGCUGUGUUCCUAAGCACUCAGUCUUGUGAGUUAAAUAAUCCUUUUGAAAAGGGGAAAAAAAAAGAAAACGUGAAUUGAAGGUUGAAAGAUUUAAAAAUACAAAUUCUGAUAUAUUACAGACCUGCUCCGUUAUUACUUGCUGCAAGCAAUAAAUUCUUCCUUUGGAACUCUGCUCCUCCUGCAGAGGUUAAAUCGGAUCUGGAAAUUGGAAUUGAAGUAUUUGGGUUUGUUGCUGACAAAACCACGGGAAUUGUAAGAAGUGAAUAGAAGGUUUAAUGCGAAAAGUUCAAUAAACU